GUUCGCCAAUAGGAUUGAUCAAUCCCAUAAGACGUACAUACGCCAAUUCUUGAGCCAAGGUCAAGUGAUGCUUACGUCACCUGCAGACCUCGACGGCUUGUUUACCAUUUACGCUGUGCGGUAUUGCUUGUGUUUUUGUUAAUUCGAAAAGGUCGUACAAGUGAUUGAAGAGUUGGAAAUUCGUUUUUUACUUAGUUCUACGUUUUAAAAACUAUUAUUUGUGUGUAUUAUAUAUGUGGAGAAUAGUGAACAAAGACAAUAUUAUUGUUUAAGGCAAAAUAAUCUUGUGAGACUUUCAAGGUGCAUGUAGUAUAUGUCCAAAAAUCAAAAUGCCUGGUACACGUUGUGCUGUGUAUGGUUGUGGUAAUACCUAUAAAACAAGGCAGCAAGAACAUGAAUAUUUUAUAUUUCAUCGGUUUCCCAAAGCUAAAGAUCUUGUUUCCCAAACUAUGAGAAAAGAAUGGAUAUUACGAUGCAAACGGGAAGAUAAAUUUAACCCUGAUACUAGCUACAUCUGCUCAGUUCAUUUCACAGAAAAGGAUUAUGAAAGAGACUUACAGAAUGAAUUAUUAGGUUGGUGAAUUAUUUAAUUGUUUAGUGUAAUAGUUUAUAGCUUUCAAAGUCUAUACUGUCCCAAAAUGAUUUUGGUAAUGAAAUUUAGUAACUCAAUUUGUUCAUAAAUAUAUAUAAUAUGUAUAUGUAUUUUAGGUUUACCACUACGAAAAAU